GACAACUGCUCACAGCUCGCCCUCGAGGAGGCGGCCACCCAGAUCCCGGCGAGCGCCGCUGUAACCUCUGUGUCCUUGGCCCAACGGCGCGCUCCCGCUCCCAACUUUCUGCCGUCCGACCUUGUGAGGAGAGUGUAGCCACCGAGGGGCAAAAGCGUUCGAGGCGCCAAGUGUUCGGUUCGCUGGAUGAGUUUUCCCGGCCCAGCGCGUUCUUGGCCGUCGUCUGUUUCCUCAAGUUAAAAAUCUGGCUCUGUUUUUGUUGGCUGGAAGAGCCGCCGUGGUUACAGACUGCGCAGAAGUCGACAGUGUAGAAAAUAGGCUGAUUGUUUGCAGGAGCCUGGGUCACUUGGGCGCCCGCACCAGGGAACCAGGAUUACUGAGGAGGAAGCCUUCCUGUGCCACUCCACUGAUUUCCUUUUCAACAUCCACUCUGGAUAAUCUUCACUGUGGGAUGAGGUAGUAGGUUGUAUAGUUUUUAGGGUCACACCCACCACUGGGAGAUAACUAUACAAUCUACUGUCUUUCCUAACGUGAUAGAAAAGUCUGCAUCCAGGCAGCCUCGUGGAAAUUCUGCAAACUACAGUAUUUCUUAAGAAUUUGUAAACAUGCUUUAGUGUAACACUUUUACAUGGUACAAAUUGUUUAUUUUAGAGAUUUAGAGACAAGUUGUUGAAGGAGUCAUUUUUUAUAACUGAUGCUUACAGUUUUGUGUUGAAUUCACUAUUGAAAGUGAGUGUUCUCCAUUCCAGAAGAGAAACUUGCUCUGUCAGAGUGAGGUAGUAGAUUGUAUAGUUGUGGGGUAGUGAUUUUACCCUAUUCAGGAGAUAACUAUACAAUCUAUUGCCUUCCCUGAGGAGUGGACAUGCUGCAUUUUAAAGUUUAUUUUGCAUUUAGUUAUUUUAUAUUGAUUGCUUAUUUUCUGCCUUAGUGUACUUGCUAAAUAGACAUAGUAAUUUGCUAUUUUAUUUUCAUGUGGUAUAUUUCAGAAAUAUGAAAUUAUGCAAAAUGUGGGUUGAAAAGUUAUUUAUUUUUCCAGAAAAUGGCAUUACUUGCCUCUAGGAUUAUGAAUAUGUUCAUUGCCCCAACACCCCCAUGCACAUAGGCAGUGCAAGAUCCUGGUUGAUGGGAGCUUUAUAAAAUGUAGUCGAGUUGUAUUUUAUUCCUCAUCUUGGGUUUUUGGGUGGCCUUGGGCCACCAACACUGUCGUGUCGUAACCACAGCUUCAUUGGCAUGUUAACUUGGUUGGCUUAACUUUCGGGCCUAUAAAAGGGAAAGUGUGUUCUACCCUUCUUCCCUGAUAAAUAUGUGUUUGCAUAUUCACUAGCUGGAGACAACCUGGGCGUCACUGGGGCUCCAACUCAGGACCUCGCGCUUGAGAGGUCAGUGCUUUACUAUCACCCUGGCCACCUGGUUUGUCGUUUAAAUAAGAAGUGAGAAUGUUAGAGUUCCUUGAGCUCAACAUCUAUGAAGGCCCAGCUUUCAGCUUUCUUCCAGUGACCAGACCAUCUGUUACCUUGGACUUCAUAAGCAAGGCUGAAAGAUACCCUAUUUCUUUUCUUUUUUUUACCCGAGCACUGCUCAGCUCUGGCUUAUGGUGGUAUAGGGGAUUGAACCUGGGACGUCGGAGCCUCAGGCAUGGAAGUCUGUUUGCAUAAGUAUUCUGCUAUCUACCCCUGCCCAAGAUGCCCUAUUUCAAAUGCUUGCUGCCGAUUUUGUUAUGGGGAAAGAAGAACGAGGCAGGAAUGACAGUGAGGAAGAAGUUCACCUUUUCCUGAGUACUAGUAUUUCGAUAAUUACAGUGUGUACCAUUGCAAGAACUUUGCAUGAGAAAACAUUGCAUUCUAUUUUGUGUGGCCUCAACCCGUGGUUGCUUUUAGGCCAAAAGUAUGCCUUUUACUUCAUCCUUAGCAUGUAGACAGACACCACUAUGGUGUGGAACUGGUCUCUUGAUUAUGAGCUGGACAUCGGUUGCAUUUUGUUACACCAAAGAAAAGCAGGAAUGAAGAAAUGGUUGACAAGUUGGACCGCUCAUAGCUGUGUCCAUUGUGUGGCAGGCACAAUCUGGGGGGGGGGGGGGCUACUUUCAUCCAUGUGCUUCUGGUGCAGCCAUUCUACAGUUGGGAACUUGUGCUUGUGUUACUAUUAACUAGUGUCUGAGGAGAAGUUGGCUUUAUAUUUUGUGUUAAUUACACAAGGACUCCUUUCAUGUUUUUACUAACUAGGUCUGCAAAAAAAUCAUGGAGAAACUCUUGUAUUUUUGCAAAGGUGCUUAGAUCAUUUUUGGUAGAGGGACCUUAAAACCCCUCUAAAUGUUUUAGGUAAUGCCAAAUACCAUGAUCCAGAGUUUGUUUAAUUCAAAGGUCAAAGGUCUCUGGGUACAGAAGAGAGGGACUCUAGCAAAUACAUGUGAUCUACAGAAGAUAGUAGACUGCUCCAAGUCGUCAGGCAAGCAAGACUUAAACGUGUCGCUGAAGUUUUCAGUUUAUCAGGACAAGGGAAUUUUAUGGAGUUGGAUGUUUAAGUUUAGCUGAUACAUUUAACAUGUAAAAAAAAAAAAAAACCAUUCCAACUAUAUAUGUGGACUGCGUUUUGUAACUUCUAUGAAGUUUGAGUUUUAUUUUUAAUUGUGCUUCUUAUUAAGCCAUAUGACCAGUAACUUUUUAAAAGUAUCAGUGAAAGAAUUAUAGUUGGUUUGGAGUUGAAGUAAAUCCUGAAGACUAUGGUCUGAUUUAACAGGUUAAUUUGAAAUGAAUGCAUCUUCAAAGUAGAAGACCUUCAAGGAAAAAAAAUAUAUAUGGGUUCCUAGGAAGAGGUAGUAGGUUGCAUAGUUUUAGGGCAGGGAUUUUGCCCACAAGGAGGUAACUGCUGCCUUUCUUAGGGCCUUAAAAUUCCACGGUAACCUGAUUGGUGUGAGCAGUUUUUUUCUGUAGGAGAAAGACAUUUAUUUGCUCAUAAAUAAAAGCAUUUCAGGAAUAGCAAAGGGAGUAAUGACUGCACUUAAGAGACAGCAGCAUGGUGCCACACAUGACAAUUAAAACUGAAAUCUAGUAAGCUAAUGAUGAGGUGUCAAGGGGGUGUUGGGGACCCAGUACACUAUGGUGAAGGAAGUUGGGAAGUGGUGUGCUGUUGUGGGCAAAGGAGAAUUCUGGUGUAUGUUUCAUUAACCAUCCCACUUUGGGGGUCCCUGGAAAUUUUUAUCUUUGGUCAUGUUCUUUCUGUGUCCUGGAAACCACCAGCAAUUUCCAUCUUUGAUUCUUCUGUUACACCUGAACUGAAAGGGUAGAGAGAUGUUGGUGUUUCCCACAUUCUGUCUGUAAAUAGCUUACUGAUUUAAGAGUGUUCUUUGGGGGCACUGUGCAUUGUGUAAUGGAGCGCCCAGUAUCAUUUGUAACCUUAAUGAAAGAGAUGUUUUUAUACAAAGGUCAAAAAUGAAAGCAGUUGUCACGGUUUUGUAAUUGUGAUAUACUAAACAUCUUUUCAAUAAAAGUUACGCUUUAAAACAUG